rfam:Brachypodium distachyon strain Bd21 chromosome 3, whole genome shotgun sequence.
AUAAUACUUCCUCCGUCGAACAAAAGAUAUCUCAAGUUUGUCAAAACAAAUUGAAUGUAUCUAGACAUGACUUAUUGUAUAGAUGCAUUCAAAUUUAGUCAAAGUUGAGACACAUCCUUUGUUGGACGGAGGAACUAUUAA